UACGUAGGGUGCAAGCGUUGUCCGGAAUCAUUGGGCGUAAAGCGCGUGUAGGCGGCUAGAUAAGUCUGCUCUGAAAGCCCGGGGCUCAACCCCGGGAGGCGGGUGGAUACUGUCUAGCUCGAGUCCGGAAGAGGAGUGUGGAAUUCCUGGUGUAGCGGUGAAAUGCGCAGAUAUCAGGAAGAACACCCGUGGCGAAGGCGGCUCUCUGGGACGGUACUGACGCUGAGACGCGAAAGCGUGGGGAGCGAACAGG
rnacentral:rRNA from 1 species